GCCCUAUCCAGACCAUUCACCAGUCCAGUCACUCAGCCCUAUCCAGACCAUUCACCCAGUCCAGUCACUCAGCCCUAUCCAGACCAUUCACUCAGCCCUAUCCAGACCAUUCACCCAGUCCAGUCACUCAGCCCUAUCCAGACCAUUCACCCAGUCCAGUCACUCAGCCCUAUCCAGACCAUUCACCCAGUCCAGUCACUCAGCCCUAUCCAGACCAUUCACCCAGCCCUAUCCAGACCAUUCACCCAGCCCUAUCCAGACCAUUCACCCAGCCCAAUCACUCAGCCCUAUCCAGACCAUUCACCCAGCCCAGUCACUCAGCCCUAUCCAGACCAUUCACCCAGUCCAGUCACUCAGCCCUAUCCAGACCAUUCACCCAGUCCAUUCACUCAGCCCUAUCCAGACCAUUCACCCAGUCCAGUCACUCAGCCCUAUCCAGACCAUUCACCCAGCCCAGUCACUCAGCCCUAGCC
ensembl:lncRNA